AAAUCACCUGCCCACAGCUGGUAUAUUUUAGAGUACAUGCAGUGGUUUGAGAUCUUGACUUAAGCUUUGUUGUAGGAACUCUGUUCUAAAAUAGGAUGAUCUCAAGCUACUGAUGUAACUUAACUUUAUUUUGAAAAGGACUCAGGAGAAAAAGGAAGAAGAAACAUCCUUACAAGUAUCAAUUUAUAUCAUGGAAUGGGCAGGAUAUGUUGCCACAAUGGGAGAACGCUUUUGAUCACACAAACAAGUUAACCCAGUUACUAUUGUCCACUGUGAGCUAUUCUUGAUUCUUCAGUGCUAAACAAUGUUGCAUUUCCAACAGUAUACAGGAUGUUAGACAAUCACUGAAAAACAGGGUGCAAAACAUAUUGCAACUUUCCAGGCAACUAUAAAGCAGGACGCCUGGGGAACAUUGAUCGGGACUGACAGCUUCAUGCCUGGACUUUCUGUUAGGGGGAACCAGAGCCUGCAACAUUCACAAACUAUUGAACAAUCAGAUCCAUGACUCAUCUACACCACCUGGACUUCCUACAUUUUGUUGGAUAACAUUUCUGGCCACAGAUGGGUGGUUUGGCAAGUACAUCCUCCAGCCAGCGACAGAAUGUGAAGGAACUGUGGUUAUGUCGGCUUUGGGGGAAUCGCCUUCUCUGAAAACUUUUCAAAGCAGCACACUAUGAUCCUGGCUCCAUCCUUUCGUUCAUGUUAUGUCUACAAGCCAAAAUUCAUUUUACAUAGAAAUGGAGAUAUGUAGCCUUUAAAGUAUCCAAUAAAAUGUGAGAUGAGAU